rnacentral:rRNA from 1 species
CAGUAGCCGCGGGAAAACGGAGGGGGCUAGCGUUGUUCGGAAUUACUGGGCGUAAAGCGCACGUAGGCGGCUUGGUAAGUUAGAGGUGAAAGCCCGGAGCUCAACUCCGGAAUUGCCUUUAAGACUGCCGAGCUAGCAGGUGAGAGAGGUAAGUGGAAUUCCGAGUGUAGAGGUGAAAUUCGUAGAUAUUCGGAAGAACACCAGUGGCGAAGGCGGCUUACUGGCUCAUACUGGACGCUGAGGUGCGAAAGCGUGGGGAGCAAACAGGAUUAGAUACCCGUGUAGUCCCUGUCUCUUAUAC